UUUUAUUGAAGCUUCGGCAGAUUUAGCUGGUUUCUACUGGCGGACGGGUGAGUAACGCGUGGGUAACCUGCCUUAUACAGGGGGAUAACAACCAGAAAUGGUUGCUAAUACCGCAUAAGCGCACAGGACCGCAUGGUUCGGUGUGAAAAACUCCGGUGGUAUAAGAUGGACCCGCGUUGGAUUAGCUAGUUGGCAGGGUAACGGCCUACCAAGGCGACGAUCCAUAGCCGGCCUGAGAGGGUGAACGGCCACAUUGGGACUGAGACACGGCCCAGACUCCUACGGGAGGCAGCAGUGGGGAAUAUUGCACAAUGGGGGAAACCCUGAUGCAGCGACGCCGCGUGAAGGAAGAAGUAUCUCGGUGUGUAAACUUCUAUCAGCAGGGAAGAUAGUGACGGUACCUGACUAAGAAGCCCCGGCUAACUACGUGCCAGCAGCCGCGGUAAUACGUAGGGGGCAAGCGUUAUCCGGAUUUACUGGGUGUAAAGGGAGCGCAGGCGGAAGGCUAAGUCUGAUGUGAAAGCCCGGGGCUCAACCCCGGUACUGCAUUGGAAACUGGUCAUCUAGAGUGUCGGAGGGGUAAGUGGAAUUCCUAGUGUAGCGGUGAAAUGCGUAGAUAUUAGGAGGAACACCAGUGGCGAAGGCGGCUUACUGGACGAUAACUGACGCUGAGGCUCGAAAGCGUGNGGAGCAAACAGGAUUAGAUACCCU
rnacentral:rRNA from 1 species